CUUCGGGAAUGUAGCUCCUCUCGAGGAGUGUUAUAGCCCGUUGCGAAAUGCGGCCAGCUUGAACUGAGGUCCGCGCUUCGGCUAGGAUGCUGGCGUAAUGGUUGUAAGCGGCCCGUCUUGAAACACGGACCAAGGAGUCUAACAUCUGUGCGAGUGUUUGGGUGUCAAACCCGUACGCGUAAUGAAAGUGAACGGAGGCGGGAACCUCUCGGGGUGCACCGUCGACCGAUCCUGAUGUCUUCGGAUGGAUUUGAGUAAGAGCAUAGCUGUUGGGACCCGAAAGAUGGUGAACUAUGCCUGAAUAGGGUGAAGCCAGAGGAAACUCUGGUGGAGGCUCGCAGCGGUUCUGACGUGCAAAUCGAUCGUCAAAUUUGGGCAUAGGGGCGAAAGACUAAUCGAACUAUCUAGUAGCUGGUUCCUGCCGAAGUUUCCCUCAGGAUAGCAGUAACGUUUUCAGUUUUAUGAGGUAAAGCGAAUGAUUAGAGGCCUGGGGGUUGAAACAACCUUCACCUAUUCUCAAACUUUAAAUAUGUAAGAAGUCCUUGUUGCUUAGUUGAACGUGGACAUUUGAAUGUAUCGUUACUAGUGGGCCAUUUUUGGUAAGCAGAACUGGCGAUGCGGGAUGAACCGAACGCGGAGUUAAGGUGCCGGAAUGCACGCUCAUCAGACACCACAAAAGGUGUUGGUUCAUCUAG
rnacentral:rRNA from 1 species